AAUCAGAAUCAAAGACGCAACUGCUUUCCCAUUUAAGCAGCUGUCCAAAAAGAGCCCAGAAUGACAGCUUUCCUGUACCACCUCUGUUCUGGUGCCUGUGGCUGAUUUAUGAUAUUUUGGGGAAACACAGCU
ensembl:snoRNA